AUGGCAGACCAGGAGCCGGAGAGGCCAAGCAAGAAGGCACGCCGGUCGCCACCCGCCAUGGACUCCGGCGGCCUGACGGCGUUCGCGCUCCGCCUGGCCAAGAAGCUCGCCGAGGGAGACGACACCAGGAGCAGCAACAUCGCCUUCUCCCCGCUGUCUCUCUACACCACGCUCAGCCUGGUGGCCGCCGGAGCCCGCGGCAGAACCCUGGAUCAGCUCCUAGGCCUGCUCGGCGCCGCGCCGCCCGACGAGCUUGCGGGGUUCGUGCGUGGCCUCACCGCGGACCUGUCCGGCAACGGUGGGCCGGUCAUCACCUACGCCUACGGUGUGUUUCACCAGAAACACAUGGAGCUCACGCCGGACUUCCUCCGCACCGCCACCGAGUCCUACAACGCUGAGAUACGCGCCGUCGACUUUGCCGAGGGUGAUAGGAAGAAGAUCAGGAAGGAGAUCAACAAGUGGGCGGCGGCCGCGACGAACAAUCUCAUCUCGGAGAUCCUGCCGGAGAGGUCACUGUCCCAACUCUCAAGGUUCGUGCUCACCAACGCCAUCUACUUCAAGGGCGUGUGGGAGACCCGCUUCCCCGAAAAUCUCACCGAGAAGCACGAGUUCCACCGCCUCGGCGACGCCGACCCAGUCGACGUCCCCUUCAUGACCCCGCCGGGAGAAUGCAAGCUCUUCGUCUCACACGGCAAAGGCUUCAAGGUGCUCAAACUCCCGUACAAGGUCGCCACCCCUGCCGCCAUGUCGUCGCGGUACUCCAUGUGCGUCUUUCUCCCGGACGACAACGACGGGCUGCACGCCAUGGUCACCGCUCUGGCGGAGGCGGGCGGUUCUCUGCUCGACCACGUGCCCAAGCACCGCAGCAGCGUGAGGAAGCUGAUGCUGCCCAAGUUCAAGAUGUCAUUCUUCUGCCGCCUCACCAAAGUCCUACAGGGCCUUGGACUCCGUGAUGCGUUCAGCGAGAGUGCGGAUCUCUCCGGCCUCGCGACGAAGAUCGACUGCGACGUGCGCCUGGACGAGGUGUUCCACAAGGCGGUCCUCGAGGUGAACGAGGAAGGCACCGUGGCUGCAGCCUGCACUGCCGUCACUGGACGCGUGAAGCAGACUGCAAGGAGGCCGUUGCAGUUCAUCGCCGACCACCCGUUUGCGUUUUAUAUCGUGGAGGAGGUCUCAGGGUCCGUGGUCUUUGCCGGUCAUGUCCUUGACCCUUCUAGCUCACAGUAG
rnacentral:rRNA from 1 species